rnacentral:rRNA from 1 species
AACGCUGGCGGCGUGCUUAACACAUGCAAGUCGAACGGAGAACUUUCUUCGGAAUGUUCUUAGUGGCGAACGGGUGAGUAACGCGUAGGCAACCUGCCCUCUGGUUGGGGGACAACAUCCUGAAAGGGGUGCUAAUACCGAAUGUGAUCGCUUUCUCGCAUGAGAGAGCGAUGAAAGAUGGCCUCUAUUUAUAAGCUAUCGCUAAAGGAUGGGCCUGCGUCUGAUUAGCUAGUUGGUGGGGUAACGGCCUACCAAGGCGACGAUCAGUAGGGGUUCUGAGAGGAAGGUCCCCCACAUUGGAACUGAGACACGGUCCAAACUCCUACGGGAGGCAGCAGUGAGGAAUAUUGGUCAAUGGACGAGAGUCUGAACCAGCCAAGUAGCGUGCAGGAUGACGGCCCUAUGGGUUGUAAACUGCUUUUAUAAGGGAAUAAAGUGAGUCUCGUGAGACUUUUUGCAUCUACCUUAUGAAUAAGGACCGGCUAAUUCCGUG